rnacentral:rRNA from 1 species
GAUGAACGCUGGCGGCGUGCCUAAUACAUGCAAGUCGAGCGAACGGACGAGAAGCUUGCUUCUCUGAUGUUAGCGGCGGACGGGUGAGUAACACGUGGAUAACCUACCUAUAAGACUGGGAUAACUUCGGGAAACCGGAGCUAAUACCGGAUAAUAUUUUGAACCGCAUGGUUCAAAAGUGAAAGACGGUCUUGCUGUCACUUAUAGAUGGAUCCGCGCUGCAUUAGCUAGUUGGUAAGGUAACGGCUUACCAAGGCAACGAUGCAUAGCCGACCUGAGAGGGGGAUCGGCCACAAGGGAACUGAGACACGGUCCAGACCCCUACGGGAGGCAGCAGUAGGGAAUCUUCCGGAUGGGCGAAAGCCUGACGGAGCAACGCAGCGUGAGUGAUGAAGGUCUUCGGAUCGUAAAACUCUGUUACUAGGGAAGAACAUAUGUGUAAGUAACUGUGCACAUCUUGACGGUACCUAAUCAGAAAGCCACGGCUAACUACGUG